rnacentral:rRNA from 1 species
UACGUAGGGGGCAAGCGUUGUCCGGAAUCAUUGGGCGUAAAGCGCGUGUAGGCGGUCCGGUAAGUCGGUUGUGAAAGUCCAGGGCUCAACCCUGGGAUGCCGACCGAUACUGUCGGACUAGAGUUCGGAAGAGGCGAGUGGAAUUCCCGGUGUAGCGGUGAAAUGCGCAGAUAUCGGGAGGAACACCAAUGGCGAAGGCAGCUCGCUGGGACGUUACUGACACUGAGGCGCGAAAGCGUGGGGAGCGAACAGG